AAUGAUUCUGCUAGUAGUGGCGAACGAACGUGGAUGAGGCUAAACCGUAUGCGUGUGAUACCUGGCAGGGGUUGCGUGUGUGGUGUUGUGGGGCGUUGUUGGAGGAGGCUGCCGGCUCCUCGCUUGUGAUGUGUGUGUUAGCGGAAGUGGUUUGGAAUGGCCUGCCGUAGUGGGUGAGAGUCCCGUACGUGAAAACAUGUGCAUGCGAGUGGAUGAUGUUCCCGAGUAGCAGCGGGCUCGUGGAAUCUGCUGUGAAUCUGCCGGGACCACCCGGUAAGCCUAAAUACUUAUGAUGACCGAUAGCGGAUAGUACCGUGAGGGAAUGGUGAAAAGUACCCCGGGAGGGGAGUGAAAUAGUACCUGAAACCGUGUGCUUACAAUCCGUCAGAGCCUCUUUUUGUUAGGUGAUGGCGUGCCUUUUGAAGAAUGAGCCUGCGAGUCAGCGGCAUGUCGCGAGGUUAACCCGUGUGGGGUAGUCGUAGCGAAAGCGAAUCCUAAUGAGGGUGUUUGUUAGUGGCAUGUC
rnacentral:rRNA from 1 species